UAGUGUUACAGCUCUUUUAGAAUUUGUCUAGUAGGUUUUCUGGUUUUUUCCGGAAGACCCUU
rnacentral:snRNA from 1 species